rnacentral:rRNA from 1 species
AUUGAACGCUGGCGGCAGGCCUAACACAUGCAAGUCGAGCGGAGCGGCGGACGGGUGAGUAAUGCCUAGGAAUCUGCCUGGUAGUGGGGGAUAACGUCCGGAAACGGGCGCUAAUACCGCAUACUAUCAGAUGAGCCUAGGUCGGAUUAGCUAGUUGGGGGGGUAAAGGCCUACCAAGGCGAAGAUCCGUAACUGGUCUGAGAGGAUGAUCAGUCACACUGGAACUGAGACACGGUCCAGACUCCUGCGGGAGGCAGCAGUGGGGAAUAUUUGACGAUGGGCGAAGUCCUGAUCCAUCCAUGCCGCGGGGGUGAAUAAGGUCUUCGGAUUGUAAAGCUCUGUAAGUUGGGAGGCGUUACCAACAGAAUAAGCACCGGCUAACUUCGUGCCAGCAGCCGCGGUAAUUC